AGUUAUUUACCUAUAAAAGGUAUUAUGUUUUGAAAGCAUAUAAGAGAGGUUAAACUCCUCUAAUAACUU
rnacentral:tRNA from 1 species